rnacentral:lncRNA from 1 species
CUUGUCCUUCCUUUUAUUUUUUAAUUUCUCCCAAUUCCCACCUUCCCCACAUCUAUUGCUUUAGAAUAUUCAGAUAAUUUCAUAUCACUUACUCCAUGUAAUCCUCAAACCAAUCAUCUGAGGUAAAUGUUUAUUUUUUCCAUUUGCUAUUGAAGAAGUUAAGACUUAGAGAAAUGAUGUGACCAUUGGUGGGAUGAGGCAGAAGGAUAAAUCAGAAAGAUUGAAGGUGUGGGACGGACUCAACUCACUGCCACUAGUUUUGAAGAUAAAGGGGCCACAAGUCAGGGAAUAUGGCUUCUAGAAGUUAAGAACAACCCCUGAAUUCUGCCAACCGCCAGAUGAACCUAGAAGCAUAUUCUCUCCUAGAAUCUCCAGAAAGGAAUCCACCCCUGCUGACAGCUUGAUUUCAGCCCUCUAAGACUCUUACCAGAAGACCAUCUGAGCCACGUUGUGCCUGGACUCCUGAUCCAUGGACAUUCCUUUCCAAUUGUCUUGUUUCCCAGCCCAGAGAAGCUAAGCAGCAGCAAACUGGAAGAGGGCAGAGGAGGUUGCAAGUCGGAAUCGCUCUGAUGGAAGAGAGAAAUGACAGCUGACAGCCUGACAGCUAGGGAGGUGACAGCAAAGCUUUCACCAGAAAUGAGGGGCUGCUGCCACUAGCUUGGAAUUGUCGGAUUUGUCUGCAAGGCCAGGACAGACUCAGUGGGGACUGCCUGCAGAUGCAACACAUGGAAAGGGACAGUAGAGGGUAUGGCUUAAACUGGGAGAAUGUUAAUCUCUAAAAGUUGUUUAUGAAUUCGCCAUGUUAAAGUGCUCUGCCUGGGGAAGAAGCCAGGAUAGGGAAACUGAGUAAAUGUUGUUCGACUUAAACUGGAUGCUGGAAGACCAAAAGAUAUGCUUUCCAAGUUCUGCAGACCAUACAAGAAACAUAGUGUCAGCAUCUGCAGCUGGUGAGGGCUUCAGGAAAACUACAAUCAUGGCGGAAGAAAAACUGGGAGCUGGAAUAUUACAAGUGUGACACUCUGAGAUGUGGAUGUCUAUGUUCCUGCCUCUCUAAUCUGGGUGGGCUUAUGAUUGUGGCUACUGUGACUUUAUGUGACUUCAGGGACUGGAUCAUAAAAGGUGAUGCGGCUUCUCCAUAGAUCACUGGAGUACUUGAUCUGAAUUCCUAAGCUGCCAGGUA